AGUCCUGCUGGUGCUGACGAGUACUCUGGACAGUUACCGUGCCAGCUGCGUGUGUUUAUCCAGCUAACGCUAAUCUCUACACGCUGCCCGAGCGCCAGCCUGUGUAUCUUCAAGAAUCCUGUUUGCCCAUUUCAUAUAGAAGACUGUGUUUACCAUUUUUGGGUACCGGCUCAUCGGCCGCCUUUUGUUGUAAUUUCGAAGACUCAUUUCUGUUUCAACGCUACUCUAUUAAAGACGCUUCUUUUGCAUAAUCGCUCUUGGGUCCUCAUCUGUCCAUACCACAUCAAGAGUGAACUAUAUUGCAUAUAUGAGUUUGAAGUUCGGUGUUUAAAAAAAACCUGGAGCAAACACACAAUCUGUAUUACAGCUCUCUAUAUGAAGCAUACAGACUGUAUUAGAGCCACAGAAAGACUAACAUUAGGUUGGAAAAUGCACAAUACAUAAUUGAUAGCCUAGGAUGAAGUCAUUAUGUACAUUUACAUUGAUUUGGAAAAAAAUAUAAUGUUAUUUAUUGGAAAACUAUGUCAACGGCUGCAUUUAAAUUCAAGUUUGAAGUUUCCCGCUCUGGGGUGCGUUUCCCAGAAGCAUAGUUGCUAACCUGUUAGCAACUUAGUUGGUUGGCAGUGGGAAAUUGUAUAACUUGGUAAGCAACUAUGGUUUUGGGAAACGCACCCCUGUGCAGCGCGCAGUGUCACAUGCCAAAACAAACAACACAUGUUGUCAGUGAUUUCCACCUCUAGAGGCCUGCUCUCGUACAGCAGACCAUUCUUAGCCACUCCAGACAAAACAUGGAAAAUUAUCUCCAUGGAUUUUUGCCAAUAACCAAUAGUUCCACAAAUCAACUAUCGGUGCCAAUUAAUCAGCAAAAUCAAUGAAUCGGUCGACCUCUAUUACAGCAAUGUGCAUGAUAUCAAUAUACACUCAUCAAAUAUUAAAGCACUCAUUUCAUGUCCCUUGACUCGGAUUAAAAAGUAAACAUGGCCAACAAAAUAACUUCUGCUUGGUGUUAACUGUUAGCCACUCAUAACACUCAUAGUUGCAAUCUUUGAAAUGGUGCAUAAAAACUUUGCAAGCCUUUUGUAAGCGAAUUCAUGUUUAGGUGUAGGUCUUCCAUUCUCAGUUAAUCUCUUUUGUCUGCAAAAGAGCACCUUGAAAAAAGUAUUUUAGUAGAUUUGUCUUUGUCUUUUUUUUUAGUCUUUUUCUUUUCAUAGAAUUUCACUUGCCUCGGAAAUCCCUGACUAAAGGGGUGGUCUAAUGCUGGGGUUAGCACUGGGCAUGUCACUAGACCCAGAGGGUGUGCUGUCAUUAAAUAUCAAAACUGGUUUGCCUGAUGAUUCUGAAUUUACACUGCAGGUCUUGAUACCCAAAUCCGAUUUUCUGACUAUAUCCGAUUUUUUUUAAUGACCCGUUUACAUCACCUUUUAAAAGUGUCCUGUAUCCGAUUUUUGCAUUUACACUAAACACUGCUGUCGGGGGGCCUCUAUGUCCAUUUUGCUUGGGGCCCCCAAAUUCCUUC
rnacentral:lncRNA from 1 species